CAAGUCGAACGAGAAAGUGGAGCAAUCCAUGAGUAAAGUGGCGACCGGGUGAGUAACACGUGACUAACCUACCCUAGAGUGGGGAAUAACUUCGGGAAACCGAGGCUAAUACCGCAUAACAUCGCGAGGGGAAGAUCCUUGUGAUCAAAGGAGCAAUUCGCUCAAGGAGGGGGUCGCGGCUGAUUAGCUAGUUGGUGAGGUAACGGCUCACCAAGGCAAAGAUCAGUAUCCGGCCUGAGAGGGCGCACGGACACACUGGAACUGAAACACGGUCCAGACUCCUACGGGAGGCAGCAGUGGGGAAUUUUGCGCAAUGGGGGAAACCCUGACGCAGCAACGCCGCGUGGAGGAUGAAGUCCCUUGGGAUGUAAACUCCUUUCGAUCGGGACGAUAAUGACGGUACCGGAAGAAGAAGCACCGGCUAACUCUGUGCCAGCAGCCGCGGUAAUACAGAGGGUGCAAGCGUUGUUCGGAAUUAUUGGGCGUAAAGGGCGCGUAGGCGGUGCGGUAAGUCCGCAGUGAAAUCUCUGGGCUCAACUCAGAGUCUGCUGUGGAAACUGCCGUGCUUGAGUGUGGGAGAGGUGAGUGGAAUUCCCGGUGUAGCGGUGAAAUGCGUANAUAUCGGGAGGAACACCUGUGGCGAAAGCGGCUCACUGGACCACAACUGACGCUGAGGCGCGAAAGCUAGGGGAGCAAACAGGAUUAGAUACCCUGGUAGUCCUAGCCCUAAACGAUGAUUGCUUGGUGUGUCGGGUACCCAAUCCCGCCGUGCCGAAGCUAACGCGAUAAGCAAUCCGCCUGGGGAGUACGGUCGCAAGACUGAAACUCAAAGGAAUUGACGGGGGCCCGCACAAGCGGUGGA
rnacentral:rRNA from 1 species